rnacentral:lncRNA from 1 species
CCCGCAUUGUGCGCGUUCGGGCGGCGCCUGCGCAGUGCGGUGCCCCGCUCUGCCCGUUAGCCGCUAUGUGCAGGGAAUAACGUUAAGGCGGUUGCUACAGGGACACCGAGCGGAGCGUCCCGCCCCCGCCCCGUGGGGAUGCCGGGUCAGUGAGCGCCGGCGGCGGCACCACCACCACCGGGGACGGCCUCUCCCCGGCGCGGCGAGCCUCCGAGAAGGGGAUUUGUGCCUUUCAGGUUAUUUCCUCACAGACUACUGCUGGUUCUCAACCAAACGGGCAGGAGGCAGCCUAUGUUGCAGUCGUGCUGACCAUGCGAGUGCAGCUUAGCCAGCAGGCCUCAAGGAGCGGAUCUUUAGGAAGAGGACUCCCCAUCAAGGAAAGUUCCUGAAGUUGUGUAUAAUGUGGCCCUAUCUUAAUGUCAGAGAUUGCAAAAUGAUUAAUGGAAACUCUGCACUCUUUAAAAAUUAACAUGGUAGCUGCAACUUAAAGUCUGUCUUUAAGCUUUUAUUACAUUAAAUAGAAAAAAAACCCUCAACAAAUAAAGAAUUAUUUGGGGAUGUUUCA